GACGAACGCUGGCGGCGUGCUUAACACAUGCAAGUCGAACGGAAAGGCCCUGCUUUUGUGGGGUGCUCGAGUGGCGAACGGGUGAGUAACACGUGAGUAACCUGCCCUUGACUUUGGGAUAACUUCAGGAAACUGGGGCUAAUACCGGAUAGGAGCUCCUGCUGCAUGGUGGGGGUUGGAAAGUUUCGGCGGUUGGGGAUGGACUCGCGGCUUAUCAGCUUGUUGGUGGGGUAGUGGCUUACCAAGGCUUUGACGGGUAGCCGGCCUGAGAGGGUGACCGGCCACAUUGGGACUGAGAUAAGGCCCAGACUCCUACGGGAGGCAGCAGUGGGGAAUAUUGCACAAUGGGCGGAAGCCUGAUGCAGCAACGCCGCGUGCGGGAUGACGGCCUUCGGGUUGUAAACCGCUUUCGCCUGUGACGAAGCGUGAGUGGCGGUAAUGGGUAAAGAAGCACCGGCUAACUACGUG
rnacentral:rRNA from 1 species